AAAGAAGUAAAAUUGGAGCAUCGGAGUAAUCAAUACGGACUUUGAUAGCCUCGUAUAUGGGGUCCAAGUAAUCAUCAUAAGUGUCAUCUGAAGCAGCAUCCACGGAACAACAUGCAUACAAGAGGGCUUCUUGAUAUAUCCAAUUGAUUUCAUUGUUUAAUAUGUAAGUCGCGGACAUUUCUCGUAGACUUUGCUGGAUUGGUAAAGUGGUAUGCUCUUCAAAUGCACUUAGUACGCUGAUGGCGGCACCGCGAACCGUAUCACUAGCAAAAUCCAUAGAAAAUUCGUUUGCGAUAUAUUCACUGACAUCGCUUUCAUAUACUUCAAUUUGAUGCUUAGGUAGUUGCGUAUAUUGCACCAGAAGUGGAAUGCAAGGAGGUAAAGGAGGUACGGGGACCGUAUUACUGAC